UGGGGGGACCAUCCUCCAAGGCUAAAUACUCCUGACUGACCGAUAGUGAACCAGUACCGUGAGGGAAAGGCGAAAAGAACCCCGGCGAGGGGAGUGAAAAAGAACCUGAAACCGUGUACGUACAAGCAGUGGGAGCACGCUUAGGCGUGUGACUGCGUACCUUUUGUAUAAUGGGUCAGCGACUUAUAUUCUGUAGCAAGGUUAACCGAAUAGGGGAGCCGAAGGGAAACCGAGUCUUAACUGGGCGUUAAGUUGCAGGGUAUAGACCCGAAACCCGGUGAUCUAGCCAUGGGCAGGUUGAAGGUUGGGUAACACUAACUGGAGGACCGAACCGACUAAUGUUGAAAAAUUAGCGGAUGACUUGUGGCUGGGGGUGAAAGGCCAAUCAAACCGGGAGAUAGCUGGUUCUCCCCGAAAGCUAUUUAGGUAGCGCCUCGUGAAUUCAUCUCCGGGGGUAGAGCACUGUUUCGGCAAGGGGGUCAUCCCGACUUACCAACCCGAUGCAAACUGCGAAUACCGGAGAAUGUUAUCA
rnacentral:rRNA from 1 species